GACCAGACUGGACGGGCACAUUGGGCAGGCGUACACCUCCAUGCCAGGUCCUGGGGAAGCAGACAUGAAUGGCAGAGCUGCCUGAGAACUGGACGGACACGCGGGAGACGCUGCUGGAGGGGAUGUUGUUCAGCCUCAAGUACCUGGGCAUGACGCUGGUGGAGCAGCCCAAGGGCGAGGAGCUGUCGGCCGCCGCCAUCAAGAGGAUCGUGGCUACGGCUAAGGCCAGUGGGAAGAA
rnacentral:sRNA from 1 species